AGAAAAUAAUAAGUAAUAAAGAGAAACACACCCAUAUUAAAACUAAAACCAGACUCCAAAAACAAAAGAAAAUUGAGCAGAAAAAAACAAACGACACAACAGUUUCUCCCUUGAAACCCCAAAGUCAUGAAUCCAGUUGAUGGACCUCUCUAAAAACCUACAACGAACUAGCUGCAUGAAUCGACAGUAAAUUUCCUCAGAGAGUGAAGAUUUGGUAUCAUCAUCGGAGUAAAAAUAACAUAUUUUGAAACCCAAAUACAAGAAAUCAAAUUAGGUCUUCGAUCACCAAUGGGACCAGUCCACCGUCGUCGUUCGCUCCACCAUCUCCGGUGCCAUAUCUUUAACAACAAUACAAUUCUCCUCCUCACAAAAAAGGUUGCAUCAUCUUGGCAUUCAUCUCAUUGGAGAUCCUCCUUUCCAAAUUAUCAUAAAUUUGUGAAGCAUCCCCUGCUUCGAAAGUCAUGAACAGAUCGUAGAAAUAGACAGUGGCUAGUCUCAUGAUCUCUUCUUCUUCAGAAACCCAUCAGCCUUCAUCAUCCUCGAAACCUCUGAUUGCAUUACACUGUUUCCUCUCGUCGCCAUCUUAUGGAAAAAAGUAGUAUUCUGAUCACCAUUAGAAAGCCAAUUGAUGGGCGCCCUUUGCUCCCAAAAAAUCUCGUCAUUAUCUGCCUCUAAAUUCAAUCCAAGUUAAAGUUUAGUCAAU
rnacentral:lncRNA from 1 species